AUCCAACUUCCAUUCUUUUCCUUCUUCAAUUUGCAGAGAACAUUUAAGAGAGAGUUUGGAAGAAGAAGAAGAAUUUUAUUAGAAUUUUGAGGUUGAAGAAGAGAAGGAGAACUCAAGCAAAGUGUAUCCAUGGCUGAAUCUUGGUUCAUUUUGCACAUCACUAGUUUUUAAUUCAGUUUGAACUCUUCAAAAGGAAUUAAGAGGGACAAGUUAAAGGGGUCGUGUGCGAGCGAAUUCUGGAAGUUGUUCUAUUUCGAGGGUUAUCUGAGUUUAUUCACAGGGAAUCAGAUUUACAUGUCUUCAGGCCGAGAAGAAUUAAACGAGCUUAUAGACCAAGGAUCUAGCCCAAGACAGUGAGUGACAAAACCAACUUUGAAAUAUUUUUCAUAACUGUUAUUAUGAUUGAAUGCGUUAAAUGUUUAUUUACGAAGCCAUGAAAGAUAUUUGAAUUUCAUGACUAUUUUCAAGUAUACAUUUGGAGACUAGAUUUCUUAAAGAAAUUUAUGCUAGCACAUAGAUAUUAAAUGUUUGGCAAGUAUUUAAACCAUAAUGUUUGGAAAGUAUUUAAACCACAAUGUUUGAAGUAAAGCAUGAAUUAGUAAGAAGUUUUGUUUUAAGAACUACAGUUUUCCACAAAAGAGCUGAGUAAAGUUCGAGCUUUGUGUAAAAUUUAUAAGCAGGCAUGUUUUAAUAUUUUUAGAUGAUUUAUGAAAUUUUCAUUAACUAUAUGACUGAGAUCUUGAGCCUGAGGCUAGAGAUUACCGUGUGCACACUAGUUGGAUUUCGUUGUUGACGUUGAGUGUACUCCGUAACAACGAUGCUAUCGUGAGUGCUGGGCGGGCCCCACUACGACAAAGACGAUAAGAGUGUUGGGCGGGCCCCACUACGACAAAGACGAUAAGAGUGUUGGGCGGGCCCCACUACAUCGUAGAGCUUGUAAACGUUGUUGUAUUGGGUGUACCCUACACAACGUAGAUCUGUCAUGUUAGUUAAAAUGCUUCGAUAUACUUGAUAUCCCUUGCUAGAUUUCAAUGACGAACAUGUUGAGUAUUUGAGGAAGCUAUUCUUACUACUACACGUUUACAUUUACGACUUGUAUAAACAUAUUUAUAUGUGUAAAGUUUUCACGUGCUCUUAUCUUUAAAUUCAUAGUUUUAAACUGAGUCACUCACUGAGCUUUAUAGCUCACCCUUUCCAAAAUGUUUUAUCCAUUUUCCAGGUAGAGAUCGAGUUCCCGGUGCCUGAUAGACUGUCUUAGUCUGCUGAAGCUCCGUUAUCGAUUGCCAGUACAUGUUUUGAGUUGGGCAUAAAGUCUCUUGUGUUAUGAUGUAUAUACACCCUUAUAUGUUAUAGAUACUCCACAGUUUGUAUAAGCUUUAGGAGCUGUAGUUGUGUAAAUUUUUGUUGGUUAUAUUUUGAUUAAGGUGUAACGCCCCGAAUUUUCGAGGUAAAAUUUUAGCAUUUUAUGUGAA